rnacentral:rRNA from 1 species
CCUACGAGCGGCAGCAGAGAGGAAUAUGGGUCAAUGGGCGAGAGCCUGAACCAGCCAAGUCGCGUGAGGGAGUACUGCCCUAUGGGUUGUAAACCUCUUUUGUCGGGGAGCAAAAGCCGGACGUGUCCGGCUGUGAGAGUACCCGAAGAAAAAGCAUCGGCUAACACCGUGCCAGCAGCCGCGGUAAUACGGAGGAUGCGAGCGUUAUCAGGAUUUAUUGGGUUUAAAGGGUGCGCAGGCGGAUUUUUAAGUCAGCGGUUAAUACGUGGGGCUCAACCCCAUCCCGCCGUUGAAACUGGGGAUCGAGAGUGUGCGAGAGGUAUGCGGAAUGCGUGGUGUAGCGGUGAAAUGCAUAGAGAUCACGCA